GGGGAGCAACAGCAAAGUCAAUAUUGUCAAUUUUUCAGAAGAGUCUCCAGCUGAAGAUCCAGAUUCAUCAGGUUCCUGAGAGGAAAGAUCAGAUCAGGCUGGUUCUGCUGGGAAAACAGGAUCUGGAAUAAGAGCCACUGGAAACACCUCGGCAGAAACGUGAUGCCGAUCAUGACAAACAAAUGCCUAACUAAACACUUCAAAAUACUGGAAUAAACUAAACUCAUCUGAACUGAAGUAUCUGUUUGAAGAGAAAAACAUAAACUGUUUAUUUUCUGAGUAUUGAGAAUCACAAACUCUUUGAUGACCCAUCAAGACAAAAGCCCAGCUAUAAAGUAAAAACUGUUAAAUAAAUGCUGUUACAUACUAUUAAUCCAACAUCAGAUUUAAGACAGGCAUUUUUUCAUUACCAUGACAGUUUUGUUUAGUUUAAUGUUCUGUGGUUCAAGUAAAAUAUUAUUAAUGUGUUUUUAAAAGUCCAACACCAGCUGGAAAACUGGAAAUGUGUCUUGCUUCUUAACAGUUUCAAAUGAAAUGAAAUAAUAAAAAAAUAAUAAUACCA